rnacentral:rRNA from 1 species
GUCUAUGGCCAUACCACCCUGAACGCACCUGAUCUUGUCUGAUCUCAGAAGCUAAGCAGGGUCGGGCCUGGUUAGUACUUGGAUGAGAGACUGCCUGGGAAUACUGGGUGCUGUAGGCC